AUAAACAUGAAGAGUCCAACUUGCAAAGCCAACUCAUAUUCCCACUAAAACACCAUCUCUUAGGAUAUAGUAGUUAUAUAUAAAUAUCUAUACCUAUUGAUCUCACCAUCAACUUCCUCUCUGGCGGCGGCGGUGGUGCUGUGGUGUCGACGCAUUACAAUCAAAUAAUCCCUUUGGCCGCAAAUCAUAACUGUCAAACAAAACAAAAGAGAUGGCGCCGCCGGCAGCAGGUGGUGCUGAAGUUGCUGCUGGAGGUAGGCAGCAGCAAGGAGUUGGUAAGAUGCUUACUGGAAUAAUUAGGGUGGCAGUUUUCUGGUACUUCGCUUCCAAAUUCUUCAGUCCGAAGCGAUCUCCCACCGAGCCAUCUCAACAGAUCUCCAAUCUCUUUCAAAGAGGCGAACCUUUGGUCUCUCUUUAAUUCUACAUCUGUAUAUAUGUUUAUACAAGUCUGUGUGUGUGUUACAAAUUGAAAUACAUAAUGUCAAACUAUGUAAAUAUCAGAACUCUGGAUAAUUGAGUGCCGACGAGGAAAUAAAUCCAAAUAAUUGAUUUGCAUGGGAUACAUGAUGAUAUUUUUGUGUGUAAUAUAUUAUAUAUGCUUGCAUGAACACAGAUUAACACAUAUCAUAAUUAUGUUGUAGUUGUCUAGGUGAAAUUUAAAUUAAUAUCUACAUUAUAGUUCUACCGAAACAGUGACUACUCUAUGUUCCUAGUUUGGUCUAUUAGGCGUGUUUCUCCUGGUAGGAUACAAUUCAGAGAAUUAAUUGACGAUGUUGAAAGUAGAAAUUCACAUAUUCACUAUCAUUUAUGUAAAUUUGAUUACAAAAGGUUUAGUGCAAUGGUGUUAUUACAAGGGUGGAAUCUUUAAUCAAACUGUUAGACAGGCAUCAUAAUGAAAUGAGGUUGUUAAGAAGUAAAAUGCUUCACAAUAUAUUGAUUAUAGAUAUCUUGUGGACUUGAAGUUAGUUAGAAGAAUUGACCUUUUGACAGACUAGAAUUUUUGAAACAUUUUGGAAUGGAGUUCUUGAACAAUGCGAACUCUGAAUCAUAUUGCUCUAAAGGCUGGAACUCAAAGAUCUUGAAAAGUGGCAUUGCUGCUUCCGACAAAUAGGUUUUUUUUUUUUUUUUUUUUAUUGAAGUUUUCACCAUACUUCGAAUGUUUGAUUAGCAAACUGAGACUGUUUAGAGUAAAUAAUUCUUAGUCAUGUUAUUAAAAAUUGCUGAAUCUGUGGGCCUUGAAAGUAGGGUUGUUCAAGGUGUGUUGGUGUUCGAAACAGGGAAUUUUCAUUCAACCUGUUGUAGAGACCACCGGUUUCAAAUGUUCUAUGAAUCGGUGAAGAGGCUCAUUUAGCAGUUUUUAGUGUCAAUGCUUAGUGAUUGUGAAUAGGCUUGUUUAGCAGUUUUCAGAAACAUUGUUAACCAAGAGAAACUGUCAAACAAACUGUUUGGCAGUCUUAACUUUUUUGAAGUAUUCUGUGGAAUAUGGUUGUGUAGAUGAUUUUGUGACCAAAUUAUUAAAAAUACUGGAGCUGAAAGGAUCAGAGAUUCCAUGGCCUUUGAAGGGUGAUAUUGCAUUAGAAAGAAUAAUGUUUGAUUAAUUUGUUCACUUUUGAUUCCUGCAGGCUGCAACUAAAUGACAAUAGAAUGAAUUAAUGGUUUACGGCUUAGUUUAAGAAUUCAGAACUAUUAGCUGGCAUUUAACAAAUAGGAACUGUCAAUUUAACUUUUCAAUAUAAAUGUGCUUGGUCAAGUGUUUACAAGUCCUUGAGGAGUGCAAGGGCUGUUGUUCUAAUUCAUGUGGAGAAAUUGGAUUUGAUUGUGACUCAUGAGGUGAUAUCAGAUGAGAGACAAGUGGGCAUUAACUGACUCUUAAAAGGACCUGAAAGUUUUGGACUGGCAAGCAUCAUAUUGAGAUACUGUCCCGCAAUUAAGCUAGAAUUGUCAUUAUAGGAUUAUUCAUUGAAGCUCAUUUGGAUCGAUUCACAUGGGAUUUAGUAAGUGUUGCCUGGUCUUCUUUUGGAUUAUCCAAAACCAAAAUAAGAGAUUCAUAGUUGUAAUGUGAUUUUUCCAUAUCACCCAAUUUUGUCUAGUAUCUCAUAUUAUGGAACUUUACAUAGUAGUAUGGUUUUACCCUUUCUAGGAAGUUGAUGAAUAAUAGCAUUAUUUUGAAUCGGUUGAAUUGGAUCAGUAUUUCCUCCAAAUGAAUCUGUUAGAGUAUAUAAUGAGUUGCUAGUAACACAAACCAAGAGAAUUUGGUCCCUAAUUUUGGCUCAGAUUUUGGCUUUAAACUCACUACCUCAUGACAUAGGCAUGCUGCUUAGUGUGUGUUUCAGAGUUGAUAUUUUGACUUUUUGAUAACUACCUUACAUCCAAUCUCAUGAUCUCUGGAAUCUUGGUCUGGCCUAUUUACUGGGGAAAGGAAGGGAUAGACAAUGUUUGGGACUUGGGAAGUCGAAGCUUGUGCUGUAGAUGAGAAGCGUAAAGGAAUAUUAAAAAUAGCUACUCCCUUUACUGAACUUUUGUUUUUAGACAUCUGACAUUACAUAUUGUUUCACUUUGGUGUAAGUAUGACAAUUUCUUCAGUUUAUCCCUGUAAUUGCCCUCGAAAUGAAGUUGCGGCUAUUUCUUUCCAGGAUAUGUGGUUAUACCUUUCGGAAAAGGAAAAUUUUAUUGAUUUUGGUGGAUCUCCUGUUUGGCACGAGACAAAUAUACCUUAUGCAGUUUGGAACCCGAAGAGCACCAGAACUUUAUCAUUGAAGUAUCAUCCUUCUGAGGUAUUAUUUAUUAGAGAAUAUGGUGCUAAUGAUGCAUUUUUAUUUCAGCUUCUCACUUCACAAUUAUGAAUACUUGUGUUCUGGAAUUCCCCUGGAAGAUGAUGAAAUUGGUUUUCAUAAUUCAUUCUCUAUGCAUUGGUAUCUAUUAAAUGUCAUUUUUGACUUGAAUCUCAGGCUCUAAAGCGCAAUGGGAGUCUUUAUGCUCAUGUUUUCUUUGCACGUUCUGGCUACCCACCAGAUCCCAACUAUCCCGAGUACGAGCCAUACACUGCUUUUGGGCGGACCUACUGUAAGAUCAUGGUUACAUUUUAAGUUUUCAGUUAUCUUUUUACAGUUUAGAAUGAGACAUUAUUGGUGUAUAAAAUGUAAUAAGAUCUUCUUGUCUAUAGCUGUUGUAACAUAUUUGCCCAGGUCGAAAGCUGACAAAAAGAAGAGUCUGUUGGGCGACUCAGAUGACUCCACUGAUGGUGAAAAUGUGUCUGAGGUAUUCAUCUUUAGAUAAUAUUAACUUACUCUUUACCCAUUCAUCCUCAGCAAUGCAGUUAAAUUGCUUGAUUCUUCAUUUCCUUUUUUCUAUCUGAUUUGAUUAUUGAGCUUUCUAGAUGUUAGAAAUGCCAUCUUAUUGAAGUUGAGAUUUUCUCUCUGUCCAAGAUUUUGUGAAGGCCAGGCAUGAUUAAGAAACAUUAACUGUUGAUUCAGGUUGUUGGCGAUGCUCAAGUUGAUAACAAGGAGGACAGACCAGUUGAAUGGAUUGCAUAUUGGAAACCAAACAUGACAAUAAAUUUAGUUGAUGAUUUCACGAGGUAUACUUGUCUUAACAUCCGUUUCUGAAAUGUUUAUAAACCGUCAAGCUAGUAGUUAUAAUGUAGCUGCAACACGUUUGAAUAGUUUCUUGUGCUACAAGAGAGAGCAAGCCAAUUCUUAUUUCCAAUAAAUUUAGCAUCAGCUACAUAGGUCCUUUUUCGCACUCGCCAUUCCAUCUAUUUGGACGAUCCAGUGCAAUGAAAUCAAUCCUAUGCAAUGUCAAGUCAUUUUAUUUUUUAUCUAACUCUCCCUCUUGCUACCUGUUCUAGUGACAAUUGCAUGACCAAUUUCUUCAAUGGGGUACCUUUAUUCAACGUGAAACAUAGCCUGCAAUUAGCCAUAUCCCUUUUUUUGUUAUCGACCAUGAUCUGUACCCCAUCAUACUUUCAUUUUAUCCAUUUAGAAUAACUACAAAUUCCUUUUCACAUCUUCAUUUUUUCUCCAUUAUCUGAUGGGCAUAUUUUCCAUUGAAAGACCCAAACUCCUCAGUACCAUAAGUGUAAUGUCUAUUAAUUGUUAUAUGGAAAUGGGCUUUUUAUCCUGUAGGGAUCUUCAUAUCCACACAAUUCCUGUAGUACUCUCCAUCCUAUAUAUUACAUUAUCAUCAAAUUCCUCAUUGUUAUAAUCGAACUAAAUAUCUAUAACAAACACUUUUUGAGAAAAAGAUAUCCCAUGUGGUAACUCCAAUAUUAUCCUCAUUCCUACAAUUACUAAGAUGUCGCUGUCUGGAUUCUGCAUAAUUUAAAUAGCACAUGGAUGUAGUUGGUUUUUUGCUAAUUAAUAACUUUAACUGCCACCGCCAGCAGAAUAGUUAAAAAUGUCAACCGGAAUGUUUCAGUUUCUCAUAUGGCAGCAUGAUGGCUGAGGGCAAUCUGAUUUUGGAGUCUUUUCUGCAAAUUAGUUGUGAGGAUUUUGCCAUAUCUUGAUGCAUUGCUUGCCAAUGCGAAUUGAAAAUUCCCCUUAGUCCCUUUUAAAAAGCUCCUUCCAUGGGUAGCAAAGUCACUUGGGGUUUACAAAAAAAUCAAUUUAAUAUUCCUAAUUAAUAGAACCAGGAAAAUUAGAAAUGAUAUAAUUUAUUUUAGGUUUUUUCCAAGUUAAUGAUAACUAAUUGACCUUUUUUUCCAUUGUUAUGUCUUUCAUAUCUCUAAUUGAUAUGGAUUUACAAUAGAUGUGCUUGUUUUGGGAUUUUUUUACAGAUAUUCUGCCAAUGCAGUUCCACCAAAUAUUGCUCCUUGUAUCCUUGAAUUCUCAUAUUCAGUCUAAUUCACUCUUUAUUGUUUGCCUGAUUUCUGUAUUAAACAUUAUUUGUUGUUCUUGUGGAUGGUUGAGUUUGAUAUCUUCCUCCUUUUAUUAGGACUGUGCAAAGGCCUCGGUCUCAAUUUAUUUUGCUUCCUGUUUCUUCAAUAAUUUGCAAAAGUCUUAUUCCCAUCCCCCUCUAGAAACGUGGGACAAGAAGUUCAUGGUGGCCAUGCUAUAUUUUCCUCUUUUGGCCAAUUCACGGGAGUAUUGACUUGGCUAAAACUGAAAAUGAUAUGAUUCUCAUUUGGAUUAAUAUCUUGAUCAAAAUUAGAAUGAUAUUUUUGUUUCUUUCUAUUAGUUAGAAUAUGAUCGCAGAGAUGCAGGGAAUGUACUUGGUCACAUCUUCCUUUUCAAAUAACCUUAUCUUAGAUCAAUUUUGCGUACUAUGUGGAUUACCACAUCCACAAAUUUUUGUAUGCAUAUACCUUUUAUUUGGGUGCAACAUUGGUCCAUCUACUAGUGGAACAGAUAAAUCUUUUAAUGAUCAUUCAUGACUUCGGCUCUGUAGAGUUGUAGUCUGUCUGGAAAAUUGCAGCCUUUUUAUUAUGAUGUGUAUGCAGUUGAUGUUCUACUAUAUUUCUCAUAGGAAACCAUGUCAGUACUGAUUGUGGAAAACUUUUUUUGUUCUAGUAUUUGCAAUGUACAUUUGGUCAGAGUUAGUCAAUGUCCAGCUGUAUUUAUCUUCAAGCUACAGUGUCAAAAGUGUUCUGAUGUUCAAAUUCCUUGACUCGAAAUCUAAGACUUGAAUAUCGAGCCUAGCCAGCGAAGCUAUUAUCCAACUGUCUUCUUCAAUGAGUUUUGGUUACUUCGAGAUAAGUUAAUACCAAUCAACGAGACAGUGGAGGAGUUACCACUGCAUCUGGAAGUAGGUCCCAUAAGCAUGACCAAAUGGCAGCUAUUCCUGCAGAUGGAUCAAUCUUUCCAGAUCCACAGGACUUAUGGAAGCAUGCUGGAAGGCGAAGCUGAUGAACUUAAGGUAUUUAUUUAAUAUUAUCCUGCAGUAACUUGACAUGCAUAAGGGUUCGGAUGGGAUAACAUUCAGUAUCACGAGAUUCACCCUGUUGUUUAACACUGUAGACCUGCAGAUAACUAGAAGAAAUUUGGAAAUUUUGCUGAAAGCAAGUACUUUGGAAGGUUGCUUUGCAAGUGCAAAAGUUAAGGAAUCAAUUGAAAGAUAUAUGAUUGCAAUUCCAAAGGAAAAGAAGAAAAUGUAAAAUUAAGGCUAUUGAAGAGAAAAAAGUAACAACACGAUAAUAGUUAAUUAGCAUAGGACGGUUUACUUUCAUAUCCGGGAAUAUGUUUUAUGCUUUUAAGGAUCCUUCAAUAGAAUUUGGGUGGACCUUUGUUCAAGAUUCAUACUUGAGUACUAGACUGAUUAGGAGAUGAUGUUGUAAGAUCAUUCAACCAUACAUAUUAAUGCCUCUCUAGUCAUUUGAGUAAAAUAUUUAACAUAUUGUAAUUUGUAAGUUUUCACUGCAAUUUGUAGGCUGCUCUUUGUUUAGUGUGUGCGAUUUUAGUAAAUGUCAUAGGAUUCUAAUGUUAUGAAUGCUACUUCUUUCUUCUUUCUGCUUUCUGCAGUCAUUCUGCAUCUUUAUAUCUUAUGUGGGGUUUUGAUUCAUUUGAUUAUUUUCGCAGAGAGUCUUCCUGGAAGGGAAUCCAUACCUUCUGGCAGUAACAAUGGUUGUUUCAGUGCUACAUUCUGUAUUUGACUUCUUGGCUUUCAAGAAUGGUAAUGGCAAUGGUUGUAGUGUUUUUGGAUCUUACCAUGGAAUUGCUUUUUCUGCCAUAUGAAAAUACGAUAUUUCUGUGCAGAUAUUCAGUUUUGGAAUAAAAACAAGUCCAUGGAAGGACUGUCUGCAAAGUCAGUUAUCGUCAACUUUAUUUGUCAGCUUAUUGUCUUCCUCUAUCUUCUUGACAAUGAAACUUCAUGGAUGAUACUUGCAAGUUCUGGUAUUGGUUGCUGCAUUGAGUUCUGGAAAAUAGGAAAAGCCAUGCACAUUGAGGUAUAACUUCUACGAAUAAAGUUUCAUCUAGACUUCUACAUUUGAAACUUUGGAAAAGUUUAUUGACUUAAACAUUUAGCUCCUCUUUCAUAUUUGACUAACCUAAUACUAGUACCAUGACGCAAAUUGUUGAUAUUGUAAUAUUAUGUGGCUUGUGAAAGCAUUACUUGGUCAUCAAUUUCUUAACACUGCUUGUUAAUUAUUACAUAGAUUGAACUAGAAUUGCUAUAUUCAUCCGUUUCAUAUCGUCUUCUUGACCAGCUUGACAGUUCUGGUAAGAUACCAAUGUUGAGGUUCCGAGACCGGGAGUCAUAUGCUAAAAACAAGACGAAGGAAUAUGAUGAUCUUGCUAUGAAGUAUUUGUCAUACAUUCUUUUCUUGCUUGUUGCCUGUUUCUCUGUGUACUCCCUGAAGUAUGAACGCCACAGGAGUUGGUACUCUUGGAUUCUCUCAUCCCUUACUAGCUGUGUUUAUAUGUUCGGUAAGCAUCUCAGAUCUUGACAAUUUUAUUUUCCCUUUCUACUUUAUUCUCUCAAUUAAGACCUAACUUCUAUUCAUGUAAUUUUUUUUCCGGUUUUCGUGAAUGAGGAAAUCUUUAGAAUCCUCACGGUCCCCUACUUUCACUUCUCACCUCUCAUUGUACUUUUGUUGAUUACAUUGCAUUCUUUAUCAGGGAUUUGAAAUUUUGUUUCAUGCUGAUUUGCUUUUUACUAAGUGAUUAACUGUGUUAAAGUAAUUAUGGACCAAAGCAUGCAGUUUCUAUGAUAUAACUAAAUAAUUCAGGAAGGAAGAGAAAAAUAAUCUGUUGAAUCUACUAAUCGUUAGGCAAGAGAAAUUAAAUUGUCAUAAAGGAAUGAAGUGGAAAUUUAUCUGUUGAAUCAAAUAAAAAGUUGGGCAACAUGAGUGAAUUGAACUGCAUCUAUUUGCCUAAUAUUGGUUCUCUGGAGGGACCAUAACACAGUGCUAGUUAUGGGGUGGAAAAAUUAUAUUUUAACAAUGAGAUUGUUUGAAUUGUUCGUUUCCAGAUAGGAGGAAUCAACAAAACUUGUUAGAUUCCCAUAAGUUUCUUGCCUUUAUAGGGCUUAUGGUUUAUAAUUUUGUUCCUCUAUUCAGCUUGUAUAGUGGGGUUACCCCUUCCAUGUUGAAAAGAAACAAAUAAAGGAAUUUGCAUUGCAGACCAUAGAAUUUGAUUCAUCGUGAUUUUCAUCAGAGUCUUCUCAAUAGUCCAACAGCACUCUUUAAUACUAAUUGUUGGUAGAAUAUUGGAAAUAAUAUAAUUAUUUUUCAUUGAUUCUCUGCAGGUUUUAUUAUGAUGUGCCCUCAAUUGUUCAUCAAUUAUAAGCUGAAGUCUGUCGCGCAUUUACCUUGGAGGCAAAUGACAUACAAAUUUCUAAACACGAUCAUUGAUGAUCUCUUCGCAUUUGUAAUUAAAAUGCCAACACUGCAUCGGCUUUCUGUUUUCCGUGAUGGUGAGUUACUGAUCAAGACUUUGUAUGCCUUUAUUCCUGUGAUAUUUGGAUAAAAGGGCGUAUGCUGAAAUUUAGUAAUAGUAAUACAAAUACUGAUUGAUGGCACUAUUUAAAGUUUUAGCCUUUUAGGUCAACUUGUGAAUUCAAGCAUUUUACAUAAAAACAAGUUUUUAACUUGUAUAGCCAUUGUAACAUGGUAGGAAAACUCAUAAAGAGCCCACAUUUGAUAUGGACGUAAACGGCUGAAAAAGUUAAACACACACAUUUGAUAUGGAUGUUAAGGCUGAAAAAGUUAAACGUAGGAGUGUGUAAGAAUCUGAUGAGGUUUAAGUGUACAAGGCAGGGUAAUUUUAGCCCCUGUUUGACAACCAUUAAAAUGAGUUUUUUGUGGGAAAAAUGAGUUGAUUUUUUUUGGAGAAUGUGUGGUUAAAAAGAAGGAAAAAGUUUCUAUUUAUGUUCAGAACAUUUUAUCCCGAGAAUAUGUGAUUGAAAAUGAGUUUAAGAAAAAAAGAAUGUUGUUUUAAUGAUUAUCAAACGGGGGCUUAGUGUUAUUUGUACAGUAAUAUUAGAAUAAUUUUUGGGAUUGUGUUAGGUUUUAAGGACUUGAGAGAAGUUGACAGGUUUGAUAUUGAAGAGAGAAUCAUUUUCUAGAUUGACAACAAAUAAUGAGUCUAGUAAUAAUGGAAUUUCAGCAUUUUUUUGGCUAAGUACCUUUUAAGUACACUUUGAACCCCAUGCUUGAAUAUAUUCUAGACAUCCAUUUUCUUGUUCAAAUGAUGUUCCAAAUACAAUUUAAUGCUAUUGGCUAGAAUUGGUCCUUGCAAUCAACUAGUGAAUUUUAAUACUGCAAACUUAUCCCUUUUGGCUCAAAAAAGGGUGGCAAAAAUUACAGAUCUUAAUUGCUUCAUCAGCUCUCUCUUUUCUCCCUUUUUGACCCAAUGGUGGUAUCAGCAACGGAAUUUAGCUUAUGCCUUUGCUGAACACCAACUCUAUAAGUGUAACACAGUUACACAGGAAUACUGCUGAACCACAUGGCCUCGUGUUUGAAACCGGUGUAGGGAUGCUCUGAUAAGUUCUGUUCUGGUAUUAGGUCUUGAUUUUGAAAGGUAAUAUAAAAUUGAUAUGUCAAACUAUAUAUGGUAAUAAUCUUGAAGUCUAAUUAAUUAACAUCUUUAUAUCAUCACUAGUAUCUGUUUGGUGGUCUAAAUACAUCUAAUAUUCAUUGUUUAUAACAUGGUAUUCUUUCAGUUGGGGAUUCAGUUUUGCAUCUGCUAUUUUGGGUUUAUGUAUAUGACAUGUUUGUUAUCUCUUUGGCUUGCAGAUAUCAUAUUUUUGAUAUAUGUGUAUCAACGAUGGGUUUAUCCAGUGGACAAGAAAAGAGUAAACGAAUUUGGUUUCGCUGGGGAGGAUGAUCAUGCCUCUAGUAGUCCAGAUGCUAUAGAACAAAAGGAAGAUGAGAAGAAAACUAACUAAUCUUGUUUCAUUGAAACUUUUUGAUAUUUUAAUUGCAUAAAAAAAGAAGUAAAAUUAUGACCUAAUAUUCAUUUUCAUCUCUAGUUAUGUACUUGUCAGAGAGUUUCUCUGUAGGUAUUAAUUAUUUUGAGACGUUCCAUUCGAUAAGUUUCACAUACAUGAAAGAUUGCCUCUCUGAUAAUGAUAUGGUUGGUUUCUAAAGUUCUGUAAUUUGUUGUUACUAAAAUAUGCCAUUUGAUGGGAAUGGGAGAUUGAAAUUUAGAGAAGAUUUCUGGGCAGUUUUUACAUAUUUUCAAAUCAUUCGAACCAAAGUUGAGAAAAACUAAACAUAACCCAGGUGUUUUGGUUUGGUUUGGUUUAAAAUCUUGAUUUCUUUGCAACAUGUAUAUCAUUAUAAAAUAUUUUUAUACUUUAU
rnacentral:lncRNA from 1 species